rnacentral:misc_RNA from 1 species
UUUCCGUAGGUGAACCUGCGGAAGGAUCAUUAUCGUACAAAAGGUGAGGGGCAUGCGAGGGCUGUCGCUGACCCACAAGUCGUGCACGCCCGAGUGUGUCCUCUUGCAUAAUAAUCCAUCUCACCCUUUGUGCAUCACCGCGUGGGCACCCUUCGGGAUCAUCUCGGGGGGGGGCUCGCGCUUUCACACAAACCCCCCCUUUUAAAAGUGUAGCAUGACCACAUUUAUGCAAUCAAUACAACUUUCAACAACGGAUCUCUUGGCUCUC